rnacentral:rRNA from 1 species
AUGGCGAAAAAAGGCAAGGCCGCCGCCGCAGCGUCCGACUCGGGGGCGUCGAGCCCCCAGGGCUCCGUCGAGGGCGGCGGGGAGAAGGAGGGCAGCUUCCUGCUGGGCCAGCCGACCUGGGAGGACGCCGGCGGCGGGCGGUGGCGGUGCGCGGAGACGGGGCACGAGCUGCCGGAGCGGGAGAAGGACGCCUACGCGCGGUCCCGCGCCUGCCGCCUCGCGCUCAUCGACCACGGCGUCGCGCACAAGAAGCCGCCGCUCAACGCCUUCAAGCCCCACCCUGAGCACAAGUCCAAGCUCAUAUGCAACAUUACCGGGGACACCAUAAACAAGUCGGAGGAGCACAUCUGGAAGCAUGUAAAUGGGAAGAGGUUCCUGAAUAAACUAGAAAAGCUAGAGGAAAAGAUGGCAUCAGGUGAGACAGGCAAAGUAGAAGGUGAACAGUCAAAUGAAGUCGCAAAGAAAUCCAAGUCUACCAAGAAGAAGGACAAGAAGAAGGAGAAGAAGGAGAAGAAGAAAGCUGCUGUUGCCAACCCUUCUUUGCCACGAGAACCUGAACCAGAAAUUGAUGAUUCAGAUGAUUCGGAAUUUUGGGUGCCUCCUGUUGGAAGUCGUUGGGAUGAUGAUGACGGGAAAGACCGAUGGGAGUCCUCUCCGGGGAAGGAUGAUAUAGCAGAGGAUGAAGGUGCAUCCGAUGACGAGGACGACGAUGAAAUGGCUGACAAGGAUGAUGAAGUGUCGGAGGAACUGGCUUCAAGCAGGACAAAGCGAUUGUCAGUGGAAGCUGUUGGACCAAGUAGUUUCGCUACAAGGAAGAAAAAGCCCCGAAAGGACGAGUAG